AGAAUGAAGAUGGCUUCCUGUCCCGCUAGCGUCACGUCGGGAUCUGCCUUCACCAAGGCCUUCACUCGCGCCAGAGGCAACCUCGAGAGACGAGCCCCAGGCACACUCGUUGGGGCCUGGGGCUGCGAGGCCGCUGCCUCCCCAGCAGGCCAUUAUAACUACAUUCUUAGAAUGUGAUCCCUUUCAACAUUUCCUGCACCUCUGCUUCUGCACACUACCACCAAAAGACAAGAAAGGCAAGGAGACGUGACUGGAGCAAGAAAAACAGUGUUUUUCACACAAGGAUGUCCACUCCUUGUUGGGAAUGGCUUAAGAUCGACCUGGGAAAGCAAAACAUCGCCAUAUCAUUUGGAGGAAAGGCACUGGUUGGAAGAGCCUGUUGGCGUGGCAAAGCCAAGGUCUUUAAAGUCCUCAGAGAAGGCAGGCAUAGCCACCACUGGAGGACUUCCUGAUAUGUGGUACAGAGACUGAUGAGGGCAUGGGGUGACAACCUUAGGUGCCAACAGCAAGGGGAUGGAUAUACAGGGUAAAGGAGGCUUGCUGCCAUCCUACGCCUUUGAACGCCACAAAUCAGAGAUGGUACCAUGGAGGAACAUGAACAGGACUCAGGCACAAGAUUUCACAUUGCUGGGAAUCCAUUUUCAGUCUUUGAAAAGACACAGUGAUUCUUCAGGAAGUUUGUUAUCCCAAAGAUGCAACAGAGACAGAAUUUCCCAGCUUGAAGGGAUUUGAAACAUCCAUAAAGUUACAGAAAUUCAUAUCUGGAGGAGUCUUAACGGUCAUUCAGACCAACGCUUUCUCGGGUAUCUAUAACAUCCAAUGCCCUAGUUUCCCUGCUGUCUUUUUUGGCCACUCCUUUUCAAUCUCCUUUGCAGGCUACCCUUUACAGGGCUCAGUCUCCACACUCUUUUGUUCUAGAUUUUCCCCUGGUGACCUCACCGAGGCCUACAGCUUUAAAUACCAUCCAUAUGCUGAUAAUUCCCAAAUUUAUAUUUCCAGUCCCAAGCUCUCCACUGAGUUUCAGGCUCAUAUAUCCAAAUGUCUACUUCUUGCCUUCAGUAUACCUUACAAACCUCUCAAGUUUGACGUGCCUAGAACUGGACUCUGGAUUUUACCUUUUGCCCGUAUCAACAAGUUCCUCUCUUAGUCUUCCAAUCACAGAAAGGGCUCCACCAUCAAGAUGGACAUGAGCCUAAAACCCAAGAAUUCUUGUUUCCUGCCUUCCUUUCCUUCUCUCACAUUCAGUCUCCUGGUAGACUUGUUCAUUUACUUCCACCAUUUCUAUCUACUUCUUUUCAUCUCCAGUGCCAACAUUCUUGUCCAAGCCAUCACUCUCUCUCCCCAAACCACUCCAAUAGCAUCCUAACUGGUUUUCCCUACCCUUAUCUCACCUCAAUCCAUUCUCUGCAUAUUAGCUGGAGUGAUCCUUUCAAGAAGUGAAUACAAACCUUAAAUCUUUCAACAGCCCUCACUGCAUCCAGAAUAAAAUCCAAGCACCUAUAACUGCCUAAUAUGGCUUCUGUCCACAUCUAACCUCAAAUCUUACCUUCUGCCCUUGCUGUGCUCAAGCCUUUCUGGCCUUUCAUUUCCUUAAACACACCAAGCCUUUCCAGCAUCAGAGACUUUACAAUUCUUCCUGGAAUGCUCUUCCACUAAUUUCUUUAGGUCAUAGUUUGUGGUCAUUUGAAAACAUGUCCACAAAUUCUUUUCUAUCCUAAAAAAAGGGGGAAUCCAAUUCCCCUCCUCUUGAACAUGGACUAGCCUCAGUGGCUUGCUACUAAUGAAUUAAAUGGUAUAGAAGUGACUGUAACUUCUUAGACUAGGUGACCAAAGAUGGCACAGCCUCCACCUGGUUCUCUGUCUUGUGAGGCUCACCCUUGGAACCCAGCCAUCAUGCUGUGACAAAGCCAUGUACCACAUGCAGGUGUUUCGGGGAACAGACCUGUCAGAGGUCCUUGCCAACAGCCAACAUCAGUCAGCAUCAACCACUAGACAUGUAAGUGAGGAAGCCUCCAGAUGAUUCCAGUUCCCACCUUCAGCUGAUGUUAGGUGGAGCAGAGACAUGCUGUCCCCACCUGCCUAAACUGCAGAUUCAUGAGUAAUGUAAUUUCUGUCAUUGUUUUAAGCCAUUAAGUUUUGGGGCAGUUUGUCACACAGCAAUAGACAACUGGAACACAGCUCAUAUGCCCCUUCUCAGAACUGCCCUCCCUGAUCAUCCUAAGUGCCCAUUGGCAUUAUCCAUAACCUGAAAAUUAUUAUGAUUGAUCCUAAAGUCCAGCCUGGUGCCUGGCACGUAGGAGAUGCUCAGUGAAUAUUUGUGGAAUGAUUGAAUAAGGAAAUGAAUCCUCUUGUCACAUUUGAAGUUAUCAGUCAUCAAUAAAAUGGGGAUUUGUUUCAUCGUUUGCAGGGUGAUGACAUCAAACUCAAUUCGGAGAGAGGAAAGGGUAGUUAUGAAGCAUGCUCCACUGGUGCUGCUGGAUAGUGAGGGUGGGCAGACUUGACGACCACCAGUCCAGGACCUAGACAGCCUGAAGACACGGGGGCCUGAAAAGGUAGUUGGGGAUGCCCAAAGAAUGCUAGUCCUGGUGCCAAUGCAGCAGACAGUCACCUUGUCUGUUGUCGAGUAAACAAGUGCCUCCUCUUGGGCCUGUGAUGCCUGCCAGCACAUGUCUUUCUCAGAGGUGGGCAUAUUCUCUAUUUGGGAAACAAUGGGUAGAGGGAUUGAAGCAGGAGAAGUUUCAGAGAAUCACUCUUGCAAGAGAUGCUGCACUCUGGCAGACUCGAUAAUGACAAAUAUGUCAAGCAACUGAGUUUCAGCAGGGUUCCUUCGGGCCUUGUUCACCAACUUGUGGUUUCCGUGGUGACAGGACAGCUGCCAGGUAGAUGGCGGCUUUGGGGCCACCUGACUGGCUCUGACGAUAACUGGCUUUGACAGCUUUGAUUGGAAUGAAAAGAUUUAGGGUCCCUACUGGCUUUCUUAAAUUAAACCCUCCCUCCUGGAGUUAGCUUGUUUAUCAACAUUAUCUUAGAUUAGGGGACUUUCUUGUGAUCAGAGAGUUCUUUUACCACGAUGGUUCACAUGUUGGGGCCACUGGCAGGGUUUCUGAGAUCAGGGUCCUCGGAGCAGCACAGAGAGGUAAGGCUACACCCUGAUGUGCUUCUCAGGCAAUGCCUCCAAGGGGCAUGUUAACAGUCAGAUCUAGUUAGGAAAGAAAACAGGAAAAGGACCUGCAUUUUAACAGAAAUAAUUUAAUCUAGGCAAUUGAGUAAGCAGGUAUUAGAGGCUGAAAGGCAAAAAGGAAGUAUCAAGAUAAACACAGGGAUGGUAACUGCCAGAGGCAGCUCUACCUCUGGGGCUGAAGAACACAGGGAAGAUACUGGGGUUGCAAUAAUUUCAAAGCUUGGAAGAGGAGCCCUGCGGAGCUGGGACCUAGGCUUCUAAGGAGCGGCGACUGCACAGUAUCUGUGAGGCUGGAUUUGAGAGUCCAGAAAAUGUUGAAGACUGGAACCCAUUGCUAUUGAGCUGUCACAGCCGCCAGCAGACAGCCGACUCCCUCACC
rnacentral:lncRNA from 1 species